GCUAGCGUAGCGACUCUAGCCUAUGGGCGUAUUCAAAUUCUUCCUCUACCCCUAAGCCCAUCUUCUGCAUUAUCCUGAAAACAGAUUGAACACAAGGUGAGAAUCCCCGACACUGACCCAUAUUUUGCGUUUUGUACCUUCUUGGUGUAAUUUUUUUCCUCCUUCUGUGCAGCUUUCUGUUCAAGCUGGAAAAUCUCAAUAACAUCUAACUAACAACUUUUGUCAAUGUCAAUGUUUUAUCUACUUUGCAGAUUUCACAGUGUUCAACAAUAGAAUGGUAAAUGGCGUGUACUUUAUAGUACAUUUCUACUUUCUUUGAAUCCCUAAAGCGCUUUAAGGACCCAGUCCUAUUCACUCACACAUACUGAUGGUGGCCUUAAACUGGUGCCAACCCAUAACCACCAGGAGUAAUUUGAUGUCCAGUGUGUGACAGACAGGGCUGUGGGUGGUAGUUUGUCCCUCAUGGUGUUCCAUAGAUGUACAUUCAUGGCCAGCACCUGUCUGUUGAGCUGUGAUUGGCUCACAAGGCUGAUAAAUAGCAGCAGUGGGAGUUCCAUCUAGGUGCUGGUUUCCUGGUUUGGCCUUGGUGGUGGCAUGAGUUCUGACCCUGGGGCAUGAGAGUAUCUUGGUGUCUGGACCUGGCUGAAGGUGGCUGCCUCCUCCUUUUAUCCUUAUGGUAGCUGGUACUCCUGGUGAGAGUUGGAUCAGAGAUCUCCCUUGGUGGUGUUUGUGGCUACCCGCCAGUGCAGUGGGGCUGAGUCGAUCCAGGAGGCAGCCGCCCUCAUGCAGUGUUGGAGUGCGGUCCAACUGUCCGAGUCUAUUUUAACUUUCUCUUUUAUGGAAUUUGUGUCGUUUUUUUUUUUUUUUUAAUAAAUUGUAUAUUCUUAACCUUUAUGAAAUCCAGUCUCCAUUUGGGGUGCACAUGUAAGAGGGCGUUCGGUCACAAGUGUCUUACCCAACGACACAUGGCCAGACAAAGCAGGAAUCGAACCUGUGAACUUCCAGAGGUAGACCACCUUAAGUCUGCACCACGGCUGCCAGUAAACAAACGAACAUAAAGGGCAAAGCUCUAACUCACAUUCACAGUGAAAAGGGAUUUUAUUAGCCGCAGAAAUCCAUUCAUUAUGUCUAUUCAUAGCUGACAGCUCAGGAAGGAUAUGAGAAGGGUGUCAGAGUUAAGCGUCCCGGUCACAUGUUCUCUUUUUAAUUAGGCUUCACACAUGUAUUUACCUCUGGAGUA